CGCAAUGAAUAAAACCUUCACUUGUACAAACAUGAAGAUUAAAGUCUUGCCAUUUCUCAUAUUGGCCUCCAUUGCACUGACAAAUGGAAUCGUUGCGCCUAUUUGUCCGCAUUGGACCGAAUGUUGGUAUUAUAAAACUGGCCGAGAUGUUUACUGACUGCAGCAGAGAUUAUCGUAUUAUUCUGAAAUGUUCCGUAAGCCCUGGAGAAGAAAAAAGCGAAUAAUCUGCAUUCAGAUUGACGAACGCUUGUCAGAGUCGACAUGUGAAAGUAGUACGACGAUCUAAAUAUAUCUAGAUUUACAGUUACAUACUCACAAAAACACA